rnacentral:rRNA from 1 species
UGUGGGUAGGGGUGAAAGGCCAAUCAAACUCCGUGAUAGCUGGUUCUCCCCGAAAUGCAUUUAGGUGCAGCGUCGCAUUGUGUGCUUGUUGGAGGUAGAGCUACUGGUUGGUUGAGCGGGACGAUAAUCUUAGCAACAUCAGCUAAACUCCGAAUGCCAGCAAUGUGGGUGCGGCAGUGAGACUGCGGGGGAUAAGCUCCGUUGGUCGAGAGGGAAACAGCCCAGAUCGUCGGUUAAGGCCCCUAAGGGUGUGCUCAGUGGGAAAGGAUGUGGGAUCGCGAAGACAGCCAGGAGGUUGGCUUAGAAGCAGCCAUCCUUGAAAGAGUGCGUAAUAGCUCACUGGUCGAGUGGUUCUGCGCCGAUAAUGUAGCGGGGCUUAAGUACACCGCCGAAACCGCGGCAACACAUGUAAAGGUGUGUUGGGUAGGGGAGCGUCGUGCAUGUGUUGAAGCUAUCUGGUGACAGGUGGUGGAGUGUGUGCGAGUGAGAAUGCAGGCAUGAGUAACGAUUGAUGUGUGAGAAACAUAUCCGCCGGAUGACUAAGGGUUCCUGGGUGAAGUUUGUCUUCCCAGGGUGAGUCGGGGCCUAAGGCGAGGCCGACAGGCGUAGUCGAUGGAUGACGGGUUGAUAUUCCCGUACCCGUGUGCGUGCGACAAGUGAUGAAUCUUAUGGUACUAACCACCCGCCUGUGUGCACCGGUCUUUUUGGUUGGUGUGUGUGGGUGCGUGGGAUCUUCGUGGGUAGUAGUCAAGUGAUGGGGUGACGCAGAGUGGUAGCUAGGCUUCCUUAUUGGAUUGGAGUGCAAGCGUGUGGCCUGUGGGGUUGGGAAAUCCGCCCCACACAUGAGGUGAGGCGUGAUGCGGACACCAGUUGUGGUGGUAGUUAGUGUGCCUGUGCUGUCUAGAAAAGCCUCUAGCGAGUGCGUGCAUGGCCCGUACCGGAAACCGACACAGGUGGUCAGGUAGAGAAUACUAAGGCGUUCGGGUGAACUGUGGUUAAGGAACUCGGCAAAAUGCCCCCGUAACUUCGGGAGAAGGGGGACCAUUACUAGUUGCUGACAGCAUGAUGGCUGGUGGUGGUCGCAGAGGAGAGAGGGAAGCGACUGUUUAUUAAAAACACAGGUCCGUGCGAAAACGUGGAAGUUGAGGUAUACGGACUGACGCCUGCCCGGUGCUGGAAGGUUAAGAGGACCCGUGAGCAUGCCUUUAUGUGUGCGAGGCGGAGAAUUGAAGCCCCAGUAAACGGCGGUGGUAACUAUAACCAUCCUAAGGUAGCGAAAUUCCUUGUCGGGUAAGUUCCGACCUGCACGAAUGG